rnacentral:rRNA from 1 species
GGGCCCGCACAAGCAGUGGAGCAUGUGGUUUAAUUCGAUGCAACGCGAAGAACCUUACCAGGCCUUGACAUCCUCGGAACUUUCUAGAGAUGAGAAUGUGCCUUCGGGAACGCUAUGACAGGUGUUGCAUGGCUGUCGUCAGCUCGUGUCGUGAGAUGUAUGGUUAAGUCCAGUAACGAGCGCAACCCCUAUCCUUAUUUGCCAGCGCGUUAAGGCGGGAACUAUAGGGAGACUGCCGGGUGAAACCCGGAGGAAGGCGGGGACGAGGUCAAGUCAUCAUGGCCCUUAUGGGUUGGGCUACACACGUGCUACAAUGGGAAGUACAGAGGGAUGCGAAAGCGCGAGCUGGAGCCAAACCUUAAAACUUUCUUAAUCCGGAUUGGAGUCUGCAACUCGACUCCAUG